GGAGAGGUGCCAGAGUGGUAAUGGAGCAGAUUGCUAAUCUGUCAACGCGUAAGUGUUGCCCGGGUUCGAAUCCCGGUCUCUCCGCCA
rnacentral:tRNA from 4 species